ACGCUCGACACCUACGGGAGGCAGCAGUUGGGAAUAUUGGACAAUGGAGGAAACUCUGAUCCAGUGACGCCGCGUGAAGGAAGAAGGUCUUCGGGAUUGUAAACUUAUUUUGUCAGGGAGAAAAAUGACUGUACCUGAAGAAAAAGCACCGGCUAACUACGUGCCAGCAGCCACGGUAAUCUGAGCGGGCUGGCAAGGC
rnacentral:rRNA from 1 species